AUGUGGCAUAUAAAAGAUCAUACGUCCCCGACAUGGCGAACCAUAUCCGCCACAUCCCGGUCCGACGACCCGCCCUCCGCCAUCGCCUCCCUUGCCACCGUCGCGAGCUUCUUCGCCGUCGUUCGUAUUUCCGCCCCCUCCUCCAUCAGCUCCCUCAACGCUUUCUUGAUGUCGUCUCUCACGACCUGUUUCGCAUAUAGCUCGGGGUUCAGGAACACGUGCAUGGUCGGCACCUUAACGCCGAUGCGGACGCCGGCGCCGAGCACGUCCACGACCAGCGUCUCGUUCAAGAACUGGUCGGCGAUGUGCGGCCAUGUCAGCAGCGGCACGCCGUGGGUGAGCGACUCCAACGUGGAGUUCCACCCGCAGUGCGUCAGAAAGCCGCCCACCGCCGGGUGCGACAGGAUGGUCAUCUGCGGCGCCCACCCACGGAUGACAAGUCCGCGGCCCUCCACGCGGUCCUCGAACCCCGCGUCGAGGUCGUCGGUCUCCCUCGUCACCCAGAUGAACGGGCGAUUCGACGACUCCAGGCCGGCGGCGAGCUCUGCGGCCUGCGACGGCAAGAGGCGGGCCAUGCUGCCGAAGCUGACGUAG
rnacentral:rRNA from 1 species